AAAGUACUCCCUCCGUCCCAAAAUUCUUGUCUUAGAUUUGUCUAGAUACGGAUGUAUCAAGUCACAUUUUAGUAUUAGAUACAUCCGUAUCUAGAAAAAUCUAAGACAAGAAAUUUGGGAC
rnacentral:pre_miRNA from 1 species